AUUGAACGCUGGCGGCAUGCCUUAUGCAUGCAAGUCGAACGGUAACGCGGGGCAACCUGGCGACGAGUGGCGAACGGGUGAGUAAUGUAUCGGAACGUGCCCAGUUGUGGGGGAUAACUGCUCGAAAGAGCAGCUAAUACCGCAUACGACCUGAGGGUGAAAGCGGGGGAUCGCAAGACCUCGCGCAAUUGGAGCGGCCGAUAUCAGAUUAGGUAGUUGGGGGGGUAAAGGCUCACCAAGCCAACGAUCUGUAGCUGGUCUGAGAGGACGACCAGCCACACUGGGACUGGGACACGGCCCAGACUCCUACGGGAGUCAGCAGUGGGGAAUUUUGGACAAUGGACGCAAGUCUGAUCCAGCCAUGCCGCGUGCGGGAAGAAGGCCCUCGGGUUGUAAACCGCUUUUGUCAGGGAAGAAACGCUCUGGGUUAAUACCUCGGGGUAAUGACGGUACCUGAAGAAUAAGCACCGGCUAACUACGUGCCAGCCGCCGCCGUAACAC
rnacentral:rRNA from 1 species